rnacentral:rRNA from 1 species
UAGCCGUAAACGAUACUCGCUAGGUGUCGGCCACGGUGCGACCGUUGUCGGUGCCGUAGGGAAGCCGUGAAGCGAGCCACCUGGGAAGUACGGCCGCAAGGCUGAAACUUAAAGGAAUUGGCGGGGGAGCACCACAACGGGUGGAGCUUGCGGUUUAAUUGGAUUCAACGCCGGAAGUCUUACCGGGACCGACAGCAACAUGAAGGCCAAGCUGAAGACUUUGCCGGAUUAGCUGAGAGGAGGUGCAUGGCGUAGACGUCU